rnacentral:lncRNA from 1 species
CCUGGGCGCGCACCUGUAGCCUGGGCGGACCGCAAGAAUGGCGGGAUCCCGGCUGCUGCCCCUGACGCUGUCUUUGCUGCUGCUCGCGAGAAUCGGAGACUCCUCCGUCGUCCUUACAUGUACAGGUGUUGCUUUUACACUACUCUGGGAGAGCGUAAUAACAAACACCUCCCCAACUACAGAAUCAAUACAGACAACCUCCAAUCCCACCUCCCAAAGUACAGAGACAACCCCUGCGUCCACCUCUCCAAGUCUCCACCCCACAAUUCUGGAAACCACAUCCUCUCCACACUCCAGCUCCAACCCCACAAGUCUGGAAACCACAUCCUCUCCACACUCCAGCUCCAACCCCACAAGUCUGGAAACCAUAUCCUCUCCACACUCCAGCUCCUACCCCACAUCAGGCUCAGCCUCCCCAGAACCAGAGACAGCUUCUUUCCCCAGCUCUGUGUUCCCCAGUUCUGAGCCAACCACCACACCCCAGUUCACGAACUUGGCUCCACAAGGGUCACCCACUUCGUCCAGUCCAGGCCAGGAUGCAGGCAGCCUCUGGAUCCCCACAUCACACAGGAACCCCGGUGUGGUGAUUGCUGUGUGUCUGCUUGUGUCUGUCUUACUCAUUGGCUCUGUGUUCAUCGCUGUGAGACAUUUUAAUCGAGAUGUGCCAGCUUUUCGCAAUCUGGAUACGGUAUCCAUGGGCAGUGUGAGUCAGAGGCUGCCAUUCGCUGACCGCCUACAGUCGUGACUCUCAGAGACCUAGAGAGAUGGUGUGGGUGACACCUGGAAAGAAGAGUUUCUGGAAACUCCCCUCCCCCGCUAUCCUGACCUGGGGAUAAGGGUCAGGAGGACGGCUGGAGCCCAGGGGUUUCAGGCCCACACAUCUAGUACCCCACUCAGUUAUUACAUCAAUCCAGGAGUGAUGGAGCACACCUGUCAUCCCUGCACUUGGGAAGUAGAGACAGGAGGAUCAGGUGUUCAAGUCCACCCUGAACUACAUAAGGGGUUUGAGGUCAGCCUGGGCUGCAUGAGACUCUGUCUUUAAAAUAAUUGUUUUUUUUUUUUUUGGAGGGGGAGGGGCAGCAUGGUUCAAUGGUUAAGAACACUGGCUGCUUUCCAGAGGACCAGGGCUCUGUUUCCAGCACCCUCGUGUAAACUCACAACCAUCAAUAAUUCCAGUCCUAGGGGAUCCAGUGGCCUCUUUUGGCCUCUGCUGUCACCAGGCUCCCAGCUGAUAUACAGACAUACAUGCAGACAAAACACAUUAAAAAAUAAAACUAAAUAAACACAAACUAAGUAAAGUCCUUUCCAUUC